UCCCCAUGGCUCUAGAAAUCAAGGGUGGGUAAGACCUGGUAAGCAAACUUGAAGGCGACCCAUACUUGGUUUCAGGGGCUGUGUGGC
rnacentral:pre_miRNA from 9 species